rnacentral:rRNA from 1 species
UAGUGGCGAACGGGUGAGUAACACGUGGGCAAUCUGCCCUUCACUCUGGGACAAGCCCUGGAAACGGGGUCUAAUACCGGAUAAUACCUGCCUGGGCAUCUGGGUGGGUUGAAAGCUCCGGCGGUGAAGGAUGAGCCCGCGGCCUAUCAGCUUGUUGGUGAGGUAGUGGCUCACCAAGGCGACGACGGGUAGCCGGCCUGAGAGGGCGACCGGCCACACUGGGACUGAGACACGGCCCAGACUCCUACGGGAGGCAGCAGUGGGGAAUAUUGCACAAUGGGCGAAAGCCUGAUGCAGCGACGCCGCGUGAGGGAUGACGGCCUUCGGGUUGUAAACCUCUUUCAGCAGGGAAGAAGCGAGAGUGACGGUACCUGCAGAAGAAGCGCCGGCUAACUACGUGCCAGCAGCCGCGGUAAUACGUAGGGCGCAAGCGUUGUCCGGAAUUAUUGGGCGUAAAGAGCUCGUAGGCGGCUUGUCACGUCGGGUGUGAAAGCCCGGGGCUUAACCCCGGGUCUGCAUUCGAU